rnacentral:rRNA from 1 species
CAGCAGCCGCGGUAAUACGAAGGGGGCUAGCGUUGUUCGGAAUCACUGGGCGUAAAGGGUGCGUAGGCGGAUUCUUAAGUCAGGGGUGAAAUCCCGAGGCUCAACCUCGGAACUGCCUUUGAUACUGGGGAUCUUGAGUCCGGAAGAGGUGAGUGGAACUGCGAGUGUAGAGGUGAAAUUCGUAGAUAUUCGCAAGAACACCGGUGGCGAAGGCGGCUCACUGGUCCGGAACUGACGCUGAGGCACGACAGCGUGGGGAGCAAACAGGAUUAGAGACCCGAGUAGUCCCUGUCUCUUAUAC